rnacentral:rRNA from 1 species
GCUACGGGCGGCAGCAGUGGGGAAUAUUGGGCAAUGGAGGCAACUCUUACCCAGCAAUGCCGCGUGAAUGAAGAAGGUCUUCGGAUUGUAAAGUUCUUUAAUUGGGGACGAAAAAAAUGACGGUACCCAAGGAAUAAGCCCCGGCUAACUACGUGCCAGAAGCAGCGGUAAUACGUAGGGGGCAAGCGUUGUUCGUAAUGACUGGGCGUAAAGGGUGUGUAGGCGGGGUAGCAAGUUAGAAGUGAAAUACCUAGAGCUUAACUCAGGUGCUGCUUCUAAAACUGCUAUACUUGAGUGCAGUAGAGGAAAGGGGAAUGCGAGGUGUAGCGGUAAAAGGCGUAGAUAUAUGGAAGAACACCAGUGGCGAAGGCGGCCGGCUGGCCUGUUGCUGACGCUGAGGCACGAAAGCGUGGGGAGCAAAUAGGAUUAGAUACCCGUGUAGUC